AGCAGAAUAUGUUCAGUGGUUAAAACAAGUAACUGGGAGUUAGGAAUCCUUGGUUCUAUUCCUAGUUCUGUCA
rnacentral:tRNA from 1 species